rnacentral:lncRNA from 1 species
CAACAAAAAUUUAGAGUCCUGGGGCCUGGUUUUCGAAAGUAUCAUAAGAUAUGUCAUAAGAUAUAUCUUAGGACAUAUUUUAUGAUCAUCUUAUGACUAUCGUAUGAUAUGUCAUAGGAUGUAAAUCAAAGCUGUCUUAAGAGAGUCGUAGCUUUGGUGCUCUUAUGACUGUCAUAAGUGAACAUUAUUUUCUAAUAUUUUAAGUAAUGAUUAAAAAGUGAUAAAUAUA